GUCUACAGCCAUGCCACCCUGAACAUGCCCGAUCUCAUCUGAUCUCGGGAGCUAAGCAGGGUCAGGCCUGGUUAGUGCAGGGUCGGGCCUGGUUAGUACUUGGUCGGGCCUAGGAAAACCGGAUGCUGUAGGUG
rnacentral:rRNA from 1 species